UGGGAGAGAGAGUGCAUCAUAGUGCCGGCCUCCCUGCCACAUGUCGUGGCCCUGGGUAAGUGACCCCCUCUCUGGACCGCAGUCUCCCUGCCUGCCCAGCAAAGGUGUUGACGUAGAAGAUUGUUGAGCGCGCCCUGGGCCCCCAGCCGGACUGUGACCCUCCUCCUCUAGCAUCUCUGGCCGCUGACAGUGCAGCCUGGGGACUCCAGGCUCCCUGGGGCUGAUUCCAGGUUCACCUCCUGCUGGCCCCGCAGGCCACUGACCUCUCCCCGCUUCGGUGUUCUGAGCUGUAGCAUGUUACUCAGCCUCUCUGGACCCCAGCCCCCUCACCUGUAAAACGCGGUAAGGGUCACACCAUCAUGAGCAAGUUAAUGUACAGAAGGCUGUCGGCACCACCCCAGUGCACAUGACGUCGGUAGCAGGUGGAUCUGCAGCAGAGACCAGCAUCACAGCUGAGCUUGGUGCGGGCAUCAGUUUACCCCAGUCCGGCAGGUGCAGACCAAUGCUUUGUUCUAAGGACUUAAAAAUCAAGAUCGAUUUCAUUGAUCAGACCUCCAUCACAGGUCUUUCAAGACACAAAGCUGUAAACCUCGUGCUCGCCACAAAUAUUCAACAUUCGAUAGUCAACAAACGUGUUGAAUAAAAGAUUAACAGUUAGAAAUGGAUUUGACUGUAAGUAACAGAAUAAAGAA